CCCAACCCCCACCCCCGAGGGAUUUUCUUCUCUUGUGUUUUCCUAUGGUGUCACUUUAUAACGUCUGUUCAAACUUCACCUUUCGGCUUUUUCCCGAUAGCCUUCUUCCUUAAGUCCAACAAGACCACCACCACUACUACCUCUCUGUUCCCUUGAUUCUGUUUUUCUUUAUUCCUUAACACCACACACCUCUGUGUUUCCUGUCUCACCCACUUUAAGAUUUCAUCUUCAACACCUAAAUAGUUAGGACAUGGUAUAGGACGUGUUAGUUAUUUGUUGAGUGAAAGGAUUAUGAAUUAAUUGCUCGCCUCAUCAAUUAUAUCAUCGUUUUUUAAAAAGAAAUGUUUUAGUGUCAAUCAUCAACCAUAAGAGAUAAAAGAAAGAAAAACAGUAAAAGUCUUCCUUGAUAUAGAAAGAUGACAAAAAUAACCACCCAAAAAACAAAAAACAUUGACAUAUCCCCACGUGAAGGGACAUUUGUUUAUAUCCCUCUGUUUGAGUCACCCACAGCAGGAGAAGCAAAUUGCCAGCUUACAGCCCGAGGACUUUCUCCAAUGGACCUGUGCUCAGGUGCAGCCUGGACCCUGAUUUAUGCUGCAGAAAAUAGCUUCAAGGGAGAAAAAUCAACUGUCAACCGGCUUGUCAGUAUGAGCAGUUAGAAGUGACAUGAUUGGAAGCAUUAAGAACCAGGAACACAGGACAAUUUUCUGAGGGACGUGCAUCGAAUACAUUACCUAGAACACAAACUGAAUCGGAUGCUGUAGCCCACCACCGUGAACUGAAGCUUCAUGAAGAGAGACUCAUGUGACCCUCGUGUGGAAGCGAAUGGAACAAAGACCAACUUUUCCAUUUGGACCCCUGGUUUCUCUCGAAUGCAGUUGUCCCAUCCUCAGCCUUUGAAUGAAAUGACUGUGCUGGUGGUCCCACGCCCAGGGGAAACAUCCUGUCCCCUAGAGGACCCUCAGUCUGUUGGAAAGUGUAAUGAGUAAGACUCAGUGAGCAGCAGAGGCUGAGAAAGUUGGGGGCCAAGGAGCAGGUCAGAGUUUCCCCACUUCUGCUUUUAACUCUCCUCCACUCAAAAUAGAAACUAUUUCCACCUUACUCCCUGUCCCCAACCUC
rnacentral:lncRNA from 1 species